UGCACCACGCAUGGCGAUGGAAGAUGGAGGAAAACUUCCGGCCCGAGGAACACAAACAUCAUCAGGCGAAAGGAAUGGGAUGAGCUCGCAUGACAGGGAAAAUCCAAUACACUACACGGACAUUCCAAUUUAAAUGGUACGGGCACAUACCUGCAGAGGCCAUA
rfam:Paenibacillus sp. Soil787 contig_11, whole genome shotgun sequence.